rnacentral:rRNA from 1 species
CCCUUAGAUGUCCUGGGCCGCACGCGCGUUACACUGAUGCAUUCAACGAGCUUAUAACCUUGGCCGAGAGGCCUGGGCAAUCUUGUUAACGUGCAUCGUGAUAGGGAUAGAUUAUUGAAAUUAUUAAUCUUGAACGAGGAAUUCCUAGUAAACGCAGAUCAUCAAUCUGCAUUGAUUACGUCCCUGCCCUUUGUACACACCGCCCGUCGCACCUACCGAUUGGAUGGUCCGGUGAAGCCUCGGGAUUGUGGUUCUUGCCGCUUUAUUGUGGCGUGACCGCGAGAACUUGUCAAAACCUUAUCAUCUAGAGGAAGGUGAAGUCGUAACA